GAGGGUCUAGCUUAAGUGGCAGAGCACGUGCUCAGCAUGCACGAGGUCCUGGGUUCAAUUCCCACCACCUCCU
rfam:Camelus ferus unplaced genomic scaffold scaffold221, whole genome shotgun sequence.